rnacentral:rRNA from 1 species
UUCGCAAUGCCCGAAAGGGUGACGAUGCGACGCCGCGUGGGCGAAGAAGGCCCUAGGGUUGUAAAGCUCUGUCGAGGGUUAUGAAAUAUAGAUGGGUUAAUACCCCAUUUAUUUGACAAAAGCCCAAAAGGAAGCCACGGCUAACUCUGUGCCAGCAGCCGCGGUAAUACAGAGGUGGCGAGCGUUGUUCGGUAUUAUUGGGCGUAAAGAGCACGUAGGUGGUUUUGUAAGUCAGGUGUGAAAGCCUUCUGUUCAAAGGAAGAACGGCAUCUGAAACUGCAGAUCUUGAGUGUAGGAGGGGAGAGUGGAACUUCUGGUGGAGCGGUGAAAUGCGUAGAUAUCAGAAGGAACGUCGGCGGCGAAAGCGACUCUCUGGCCUAUUACUGACACUGAGGUGCGAAAGCUAGGGGAGCAAACGGGAUUAGAUACCCCGGUAGUCCUAACCGUAAACGAUGGGCACUAAGUAGAGGGGUUUU